AGCAGCCGCGGUAAUUCCAGCUCCAAUAGCGUAUAUUAAAGUUGCUGCAGUUAAAAAGCUCGUAGUUGAAUUUCGGGACCAUCAUGUCGGUCGUGCCUCGGUACGUACUGGCAUCGUUGGUUUCUCCCUUCUGACGAACCAUGAUGUCAUUAAUUUGGUGUCAUGGGGAAUCAGGACUGUUAACUUUGAAAAAUUGAGUGUUUAAAGCAGGCUCACGCUUGAAUACAUUAGCAUGGAAUAAUGAAAUAGGACGUUUGAUUCUAUUUUGUUGGUUUCUAGGAUCGACGUAAUGAUUAAUAGGGAUAGUUGGGGCAUUAGUAUUCAAUUGUCAGAGGUGAAAUUCUUGGAUUUAUUGAAGACUAACUACUGCGAAAGC
rnacentral:rRNA from 1 species